rnacentral:rRNA from 1 species
AUGGCGGUCAAGAAGCCGGAGCCGCAGGUGCUAGUGCCGGCCGUCUUCGACUUCCCUCCCUUGGCCGCCCGCACCAGGAUGCUGGUGCCGGCAUAUGAGCUCAUGUUCGGGAAGCUCGCGCGACGCAACCUCUGGGGGCGUGGAUGCGCAGAUUGUGUUGAAGCAGCUGGGAGAUUCUCAUGCUGA